UGUUUUACCCCAGAGAAACCUGAGCCAGC
rnacentral:piRNA from 1 species